GAAGGACAAUUCGACAUUUCCAAACUUCUCACGCGGAACCCCCAAAACCCUCGCCGCUCGCUCCGCCUUCCCCGUCCCGUUUCGAGAUCUAAACUGUAGUCCACUCGCUUUGACCGCCAUGAUCGUCGCCGCCGCCCGUAGGUCGCUCAUGCGCUCGUCUUCCCUGCGGAGCGCCGCCGCAGCUAGAAUCGGAGCCUCGCGCGCUUCUCUACGCUCGCCUCCGAUGUUGAGGCCUGCCGCCACUCCCUCCCGUAUCUUAAGGUCUCCAGUUGAGACGAUCUUCUGUGUGGAGUCCCUGCUGCCGAUGCACAGUGCCACGGCGUCGGCACUGAUGACAUCAAUGCUCGCCGUUUCGCGCAGGGGUUAUGGGUGGCUUUCUGAAGCUGGAAAUGAUGACGUGUGACAAAUACUAGGUGCAAUCUAGCAAAUAAGUUAUCUGAUCUUCUCAAAAAUACAGAUGGAUGAGUGGUAGAUUUUCGAGGACACUGCACUGAUCAUGGAGCCACAGAUUUCUUGAUAAUGAAAAAUUUUCUGGAAGCAAUUUACUGUAGGUAUAGCUGCUGGAGACCAGUGGAUGGUACAAAUAAAACCAUGCUUGUUGAGACUAUUGGUUUCUGUUGCCCAUUUCUUUCUUAUUUCUCGAAGCAGAAAUGUAGAUUGUUUUCUUAAACAGUUGAGACAUCACCGGCAUGGAUUAGCUGGCUGUCUGGGUUAAGCUUAUGAUGGGCUACUACUGUACUGUCUCGAGCAAAGUGAGAAAUGCACACCUUUUUCAUGGUUGUCGCAAAAGUAGUAAGAGGCCCAACUGCUCUUUGCUUGUUGCUUUUGUUACAUGCUGUUGCUGAAGCCAUUUUU